rnacentral:rRNA from 1 species
UACGAAGGGUGCGAGCGUUAUUCGGAAUCACUGGGUGUAAAGGGUGCGUAGAUGGUGUGUUAAGUUUGUUGUUAAAGGCUUCAGCCUAACUGGAGUACCGCAAUGAAAACUGGCGCGCUAGAGGGUGAGAGAGAGAAGUGGAAUUCCCGGAGUAGCGGUAAAAUGCGUGGAUCUCGGGAGGAACACCAAUGGCGAAGGCAGCUUCUUGGCUCAUUCCUGACAUUGAGGCACGAAAGCGUGGGGAGCAAACAGG